UGCAAGUCGAGCGGUAACAGGAAAGUAGCUUGCUACUUCGCUGACGAGCGGCGGACGGGUGAGUAAUGCCUGGGAAUAUGCCUUGAUGUGGGGGAUAACUAUUGGAAACGAUAGCUAAUACCGCAUAAUGCCUACGGGCCAAAGAGGGGGAUCUUCGGACCUCUCGCGUCAAGAUUAGCCCAGGUGGGAUUAGCUAGUUGGUGGGGUAAAGGCUCACCAAGGCGACGAUCCCUAGCUGGUCUGAGAGGAUGAUCAGCCACACUGGAACUGAGACACGGUCCAGACUCCUACGGGAGGCAGCAGUGGGGAAUAUUGCACAAUGGGGGAAACCCUGAUGCAGCCAUGCCGCGUGUAUGAAGAAGGCCUUCGGGUUGUAAAGUACUUUCAGCAGUGAGGAAGGUGGUAGUGUUAAUAGCACUAUCAUUUGACGUUAGCUGCAGAAGAAGCACCGGCUAACUCCGUGCCAGCAGCCGCGGUAAUACGGAGGGUGCGAGCGUUAAUCGGAAUUACUGGGCGUAAAGCGCAUGCAGGCGGUCUGUUAAGCAAGAUGUGAAAGCCCGGGGCUCAACCUCGGAACAGCAUUUUGAACUGGCAGACUAGAGUCUUGUAGAGGGGGGUAGAAUUUCAGGUGUAGCGGUGAAAUGCGUAGAGAUCUGAAGGAAUACCGGUGGCGAAGGCGGCCCCCUGGACAAAGACUGACGCUCAGAUGCGAAAGCGUGGGGAG
rnacentral:rRNA from 1 species